CAAUAGCGUAUAUUAAAGUUGUUGCGGUUAAAAAGCUCGUAGUUGGAUUUCUGCCGAGGACGACCGGUCCGCCCUCUGGGUGAGUAUCUGGCUCGGCCUGGGCAUCUUCUUGGAGAACGUAGCUGCACUUGACUGUGUGGUGCGGUAUCCAGGACUUUUACUUUGAGGAAAUUAGAGUGUUUCAAGCAGGCACACGCCUUGAAUACAUUAGCAUGGAAUAAUAAGAUAGGACCUCGGUUCUAUUUUGUUGGUUUCUAGAGCUGAGGUAAUGAUUAAUAGGGAUAGUUGGGGGCAUUCGUAUUUAACUGUCAGAGGUGAAAUUCUUAGAUUUGUUAAAGACGAACUACUGCGAAAGCAUUUGCCAAGGAUGUUUUCAUUAA
rnacentral:rRNA from 1 species